GACGAACGCUGGCGGCGUGCUUAACACAUGCAAGUCGAACGGAAAGGCCCUGCUUUUGUGGGGUGCUCGCGUGGCGAACGGGUGAGUAACCCGUGAGUAACCUGCCCUUGACUUUGGGAUAACUUCAGGCAACUGCGGCUACUACCGGAUAGGAGCUCCUGCUGCAUGGUGGGGGUUGGAAAGUUUCGGCGGUUGGGGAUGGACUCGCGGCUUAUGAGCUUGUUGGUGGGGUAGUGGCUUACCAAGGCUUUGACGGGUAGCCGGCCUGAGAGGGGGACCAGGGACAAUGGGACUGAGAGACGGACCAGACGCCUACGGGAGGCAGCAGGGGGGAAUAUUGCACAAUGGGCGGAAGCCUGAGGCAGAGACGCCGCGUGCGGGAUGACGGCCUUCGGGUGGUAAACCGCUGUCGCCUGUGACGAAGCUGGAGUGACGGUAAUGGGUAAAGAAGCACCGGCUAACUACGUG
rnacentral:rRNA from 1 species